rnacentral:rRNA from 1 species
GAUGAACGCUGGCGGCGUGCCUAAUACAUGCAAGUCGAGCGAACAGACGAGGAUCUUGCUCCUCUGACGUGAGCGGCGGACGGGUGAGUAACACGUGGAUAACCUACCUAUAAGACUGGGAUAACUUCGGGAAACCGUAGCUAAUACCGGUUAAAUAAUUGAACCGCAUGGAUCAAUAGUAAAAGACGGCUUUGCUGUCACUUAUAGAUGGAUCCGCGCCGCAUUAGCUAGUUGGUAAGGUAACGGCUUACGAAGGCAACGAUGCGUAGCCGACAUGAGAGGGUGAUCGGCCAGCCUGGAAGUGAGACACGGCACAAGCUCCUACGGAAGCGACCAGUAGGGAAUCUUGCGCAAUGGGCGAGAGACUUACGGCGCAACACCGAGUGAGUGAUGAAGGUCUUCGGAGCGUACAACUAUGUUAUUAGGGAAGAAAAAAUGUGUAAGUAACUAUGCACGACUUGACGGUACCAAAACAGAAAGCCACGGCUAAAUACGUG